GUUGUGGCCUAGGAGGAGGGGAAGGGGGGGGACACAGCUGACCCCUCUUCUUGUCUUAGAGUAGGAAGCACAAGUCAAGCACCGAGUGCGAUAACGACACCCAGGCGUUUUUUUUUUUUCCACGAGACUGGAUUUUUUUUUUUUUCCUUUCACAGUAGCUUAAAUCUAUUUAACCCGACGAUUAAGAGUUUGAUGUGGAAUGCGAGUAAAUUUAAAGUCAGGACUCUUGUCUCUAGCACCCGACAGAAAUGUGCUUUUCCAGCCAAAAGCAGAAAGCCUCUGAGGGCUCUUGAGGGAGAAAUGAGAUGCGGGCAUUAUAUGACCUAAUGGCAACUCCAACCAGAGGAGAGGGCAAACAGAGCAAGUGUAGUGGCCCUGGCUGAGAGAAGGAUCCAUAUUGUGCCCUUUUGUUUUGGUGUGUUGGUUUGUGUUUGCAUUUACAUUGACCAGUUCUCUGCCGAAUGCGUAUUCACAUUUGGUCCGGGUGCCGCUGUCUGCGUGGGCAGGAAAUGGGGAGGCAGCGCGCUUCCCCGUCGAGGUCUGCCGGGAAUAAAAUAACAAUAGUAAAUGAAUCAGAAGCAAAUAAACAAACAAGUUAAAAAAAGAAAAAAAAAAGGCAAGAAGAAGAAAAGCAGGGAUGUCAGAGGAAGAUCAAUACACAUAAGAUGAAGGAGCAUAUUCAUGCAUGUGAGCAGACACUUGCCUAAACACAAACACACACACAGAGGAGCCCAUCCCCCUCUGUAAAGGUUGUGGUGUCAGGGACCCCCUGGGUGGUCAGACUGAGGAUAAUUUCAACACAAUAUGAUGUUGUGAAGGAAGCCUUUGAGAAAAGAUGUCCACCGGCUCCGGUUUUAUUGUCGCAUUUACACAAGCACUUAAAUGCAUCGUCUGUAUAUGUUUCUAAAGAGUGGCAAUGUAUCCGAAGAGGGCGAUGAUAUUCGGCUACAAGCAUCUUAUACACUUACGCACAUUGCAUUAAACUGCUCUUUUUUUUUUCACCCACGAUGACUCCACAAUGGUUUAUUCUAUUGGCUAAGCUCUUAAUCUAUCAGAUCAGAUUUCAAAGUGCCAGUAGUUGUGCCAAGGCAGGUCCCAGGAAGGAAACCCCUUUUGUUUGGGGCAGAAAUUUAAAAAUUUAAGACCAGACUUUAUUCACAGGUGUCCUUGUUAAAAGAAAAAAGAAAGAAAAGAAAAAGAAAAAAGAUAGGACCCGUUUACGGGAGCGCUGCCUCAAAGAGCGACAUCAUCAAGAAACAGGCUCUGCUGACUGAAGUGAUCCCCACGGCCCGAGUGGAGGAGAGGGGAGAGAGGAAGCCCCGGAGGGAAGAGGGAUGGCCGUGGAAGAGCUGAUGCACUCACGCACACUCAAAACACUCACACAAUGUCCCUCUCAGUCCUGGGCUGUGACCGGCCCAUGGCUUUGGCCAGAUCUACACGGAUUCUCAUCCGGAGGAGGACGCUUUCUCGACGCCGCUUUCCAUCCGCUCUCACCGCCGUGCGUCAAAGCGACCUGAAAGCACUUUCCCGUCGAUGUACUUGGCUAUAUCUGCGUCUGACCUGUCUGCCAUAUGUAAUAUCAAAGCCUCUGUCAGCGUGGAGCUGAAUGGGAACAAAAGAGAGGCCUCCAUUAAUGAUUAACUGUUCUAAAAGCCCCGGCUUUUGUAUUCCCAUGGUGCCCGGGCUAUCUGGCCACCAUGUGACAUGCUCACAGCAUUUUUCGAGCAGAUUGGGGGAAAGCUAGUGAGCAAACACAGGUGCUUUGGAGCGGCGUUGCCGACGCUGUCAGGGACAACCACAAACAAGAGCAGCUAUGCCUGGCUAAAUGAAUCCCCACCCCUCCCAGCAGCGCCAUCGCCGCCGCCACCUCCACCCCCACCCACCUUCUCCGUCGCUAGCUAACUUGUUUGCUAGCUCCCUAUAGCUUUCUCCCUGCAAAGUCUCCCUUCUGGAUAGUCAGCGCGUAACCCCCCCCUCCACCACCACCACCACCAACCCACCCCCGCCAUCCCCUCCCCCUCCCCUGCAAGUCCAAUGUCCGCCGCAGCCCGGGCUCCACAACUUCUCACACCCUCCAAAGAAACAAACAAAUAAAACCGAGGACGGCCGACCGCUUCUUUGAGGUGAUGGCAUUUGCUGUGGUCAUGACUAGUGGGAGAGCAAACACAUUAAUGGUGUCCGAGUUUUCACUUUCCAAACCAAACUAAACGUCUUUUUAGUUCAAGUGGGGCAAUUCCACUGACCCUGGUGUCAAACGCUGCAUAAGGGUUGCACACUCUUGCACUUGAAUUGUCGAGAGGAGGCCGUAAGAAAUUAAACAGGGCUGCUGGAGGAUCGGCCCACGCGAGCCCGCGCCUGCGAAGUGGCAUGUGACAAAUAAAUUUCUAAUAAAUUGCGCGCGGUUAAUUUCUCUGAGCCAGCAUUUUUGGCAACAAACUUCAACGAGAGGUGUCUGGAGCACUUAACCUUUUCAUCCAGUCCGUCCGAUUGUUCAGAGUGACUGGGGGGGGAGCUGUGUCGCUCAACUUCGAUAAGACAAUCAGAUGAUAGGAUGGCGUUAUCUUAACAUGGCUUUCCGGCUGGGAGACAAAUGAACACUGUGUGAUAACAGGAACAAAAGCUUGGCCUGGAAAGGAAAAAUUAUCAGACUGGAAAAUUCACAAUCGCCGCAGUUUAUUUCAUUUUCAAUUUUCUACGUAGGCCAGUUCACAGGAACGGCCUAUUUAUUUUUUUUAUCGCUCAAAUAUUUAUAUUGUCUAUUGCUGGCAUUUUAGUUUAACAAUCAGCAAUUACCCGAGCCUAUAAAGCAGUUAUCAGUGGAAAGAUGAUAAAAAGAAAUGGUUUAAAACAAACAAUUUAAAUCAACAGGAGAGGAAAUUAAGUUGUAAAGGUGAGAUACUGAAAAAGGAGCAGAAAGCCAGCGAGCAAAAAGAGAAAAAAAAAGAGAGAGAAAAAGAGAAAUGUGGUAUAGGAGUGUCUAUAUGAGAAAGUAAGGAAGAGUUAAGAGGGAAAAAUAAAGGUCAAAAGUUGUUUCCUCAGAGAUGCACCACUGAUCAGUAAAACGCCACUUCUGUCUGGCUUUUCUGACUUUUACAGCCCAAUUCUCGGAGUCAGAGAGGGGCGUGUAUGCUCAAGGAUUCACUCACUGCUUUGUUUGCUCUAUUCCCCAAAAAAUGAUUGGAAAAAAUAUUGGUGCCCUGGCAUGAAACGUUGGUAAAGACAAAAAAGAAAAAAGAAGAAAAAGAAAAAAAAAAGUUGUGUAGAAGCAGCAUGAAUAAAAUAUUCUCUUUAAAAAAAAAAAAAAAAA